AAGCAUUGUUUCUUAAUCUGAGUAUAUCAAUAUUACCUUGUUCAGAACUUAAAGAGAAAUCUUGAGUUUAUGGACUUCAGGGGGAGUAUGGUCACAAGGCUGAAACUUAAAGGAAUUGACGGAAGGGCACACCAGGAGUGGAGCCUGCGGCUUAAUUUGACUCAACACGGGAAAACUUACCAAGACCGAACAGUAGAAGGAAUGACAGAUUAAGAGUUCGUUCAUGAUUUAUUGGGUAGUGGUGCAUGGCCGUUCUUAGUUGGUGGAGUGAUUUGUCAGGUUAAUUCCGGUAACGAACGAGACUGAAACCUAUUAAUUAGUUUUCUGCCUAUAAGACAGAAGUGUUCGCAAGAACAGGUGCGUAAGUACCACUUCUUAAAGGGACACAUUUCAAUUGUCCUAUUUUAAUUGUAGUUAU
rnacentral:rRNA from 1 species